UGUGGGGUGUGUGUGUUGUGUGUAAGUGUGUGUGUGUGUGUGGGGUGUGUGUGGUAAUACACACUUACACACACACACAACACACCACACACACACACACACACACACACACAAAACAUAUAUAUAUAAUAUAUAUAUAUAUAUAUAUAUAUAUAUAUAUACAUACACACACACACACACAC